rnacentral:rRNA from 1 species
GAUGAACGCUGGCGGCGUGCCUAAUACAUGCAAGUCGAGCGAACGGACGAGAAGCUUGCUUCUCUGAUGUUAGCGGCGGACGGGUGAGUAACACGUGGAUAACCUACCUAUAAGACUGGUAUAACUUCGGGAAACCGGAGCUAAUACCGGAUAAUAUUUUGAACCGCAUGGUUCAAAAGUGAAAGACGGUCUUGCUGUCACUUAUAGAUGCAUCCGCGCUGCAUUAGCUAGUUGGUAAGGUAACGGCUUACCAAGGCAACGAUGCAUAGCCGACCUGAGAGAGUGAUAGGCCACCAGAGAACGGAGACACGGACAAGAGGACUAAGAGAGGCAGCAGUAGGGAAUGUGACGCAAUGGGCGAAAGCAUGACGGAGCAACGCCGCGUGAGAGAUGAAGGUCUUCGGAGCGGAAAACUCUGUUAUUAGGGAAGAACAGAUGUGUAAGUAACUGUGCACAGAGUGACGGUACCUAAUAAGAAAGCAACGGCUAACUACGUG